UCCCCACCACACCACAGAGCAGGUAGACCCCGAUGCUUACAGCUUUCUUUGCAUUCUGGGUUUUGCAGGGACAGAAAUGCUAUUUUCUGAGUGCUGUAUUGAUACUGCCUGUCUAACGAGAUACUGGAUGAGCCUGACUUUCAAGUCUCCAGAGUGGGCGGAAGAAGUGAGCGCCGCAGAGCUUGGUGACAUGGAUAAGACAGCUGGUUCUGAGAUGCUUGGAAGACAUCAAGGAACCUCUGCAGAGGUACUGUAAUGAAGAGACUCCAUCCAUUUGAAGAGUAAUAAAGGUACAAA